AGCGAACGUUAGCGGCGGGCCUAACACAUGCAAGUCGAACGCGAAAGGUCUUCGGACUGAGUAGAGUGGCGCACGGGUGAGUAACACGUAGGUAAUCUACCCUUUGGCGGGGGAUAACGUUCCGAAAGGAGCGCUAAUACCGCAUAAGACCACGGAGUCUCCGGACGCUGUGGGAAAAGGUGGCCUCUUCUUGAAAGCUACCACCGAAGGAUGAGCCUGCGUCCCAUCAGCUAGUUGGUAAGGUAAUGGCUUACCAAGGCGAAGACGGGUAGCUGGUUGAGAGAAUGAUCAGCCACACUGGCACUGGAACACGGGCCAGACUCCUACGGGAGGCAGCAGUGAGGAAUAUUGGGCAAUGGGCGAAAGCCUGACCCAGCCACGCCGCGUGAGUGAUGAAGGCCCUCGGGUCGUAAAGCUCUGUGGAGAGGGACGAAAACCCUGGUUCAAAUAGGCUCCAGGACUUGACGGUACCUCUUUAGCAAGCACCGGCUAACUCUGUGCCAGCAGCCG
rnacentral:rRNA from 1 species